GGCCUACAGCAGGAACAAUGAAGAAUGCCCUUAACAUCACCUUAUGUCACAGGAGGAUAGGAAUUGUGAAAAUGUGUGUGGGCAACCUGGCAUGGAAGAAAAACCUAAAACAGUACACAACAAGUCAACACUGCUGCAAUCCAUGAUUCCUCAGACUCUUGUGGACCAGACUGACGAUUUGAAUUCCAGCCCUUGGACCCUCAGGGUGGAUAGAGAGAACCAACUUCUCCAGGCUGUCCUGUGACUUCCACAGGACUUAUGGCACACUCCUGUGUGGCUCUCUCUGCAAUAAAUAAAUGUCAAGUGGGAGAGUCCUUGUCUUGAGUCUGCCGGCGAGGUAGUGUGAGAGGUCUGACCUCACAAGAGGUCCUUGUGAUGUCAUUGCCACCUCAAGAUGCCCUCCUCUGUGAAGGUCACAAAGGACUCAGUCUGGACCCUGCGGCUUGCAGGGGCCAGGCUGCUGGUGGCAGGUGUGUGCUUCUGGCGGCUAGAGGUCGGGAAGCAUGUGAGUC
rnacentral:lncRNA from 1 species